ACGUGCGGUGGAUGUGGCAAGUGCUACUAGUUCGCUGUAAUGAUAAAGAGUUAUUACCACAUAAGCCCGGAUGCUUAUCAAGGCUCGAGGAGGUGCUCUUCAGCAAAGAAAUAACCCGACCUGAGUUGACUUGAACAGGAAGUAAUAGCUCUCGAAUAAGGUCGGCAAGGAUUUACCUGGCGACGGCCCUUACAGAGGAACUUCCACCCGGUUCCAACAACCUCUACUCAAAGUCGGUGGAAUCAGACGGCAAACACGGAAGGGAAGCUCUUUGGAUUCCAGUCCGGUCGACCGACCGAAGGCAAGAAUACAAAGAACUAGUUCUGUGUCCGGUUUUAUAAGCCCGCAGGGAUUUACCCUACCAGGAUUAUCUUCCCGGGAACAGGUGAGUAAAACGGCAAAACUAAAAGUAAUUAUCAAAUUAAUAGGUCUGGGAAAAUAAUGAAACUAAAACGAAAAGCUCUGGUGGAAUUAAAACGGAAAAUAAAAUAAACUUAAACGGAUAUCAGGUUUUCGAAACGGGCAGGAAUCGGGUCUGGUUCUGGUUCGGGGAAUGAUUUUAACAUGGAACGGAAUUAAUCGGAAGUGCUCUCUGGUACUUUACAAACACCUUUUAUAGGACACACAACAAGGUGGGAGAUGUAGAAGGGAUUGCAAAUAAAGGAUGGGGACGACAACAGGCGACAUCUAACGAGGGGAUUUUACAAAACAUAGUACAGGAUGUUUCACAAAUAAAAUUCCAACGUUAUCAAUUUGAUGUUUUCUUACA